rnacentral:rRNA from 1 species
CACGUAGGGUGCGAGCGUUGUCCGGAAUUAUUGGGCGUAAAGAGCUCGUAGGCGGUGUGUCGCGUCGGCCGUGAAAACCUGCAGCUUAACUGUGGGCUUGCGGUCGAUACGGGCAUCACUGGAGUUCGGCAGGGGAGACUGGAAUUCCUGGUGUAGCGGUGAAAUGCGCAGAUAUCAGGAGGAACACCUAUAGCGAAGGCAGCUUGCUGGGACGUUACUGACGCUAAGGCGCGAAAGCGUGGGGAGCGAACAGG